rnacentral:rRNA from 1 species
CUAGCAUAUCAAUAAGCGGAGGAAAAGAAACCAACAGGGAUUGCCCUAGUAACGGCGAGUGAAGCGGCAACAGCUCAAAUUUGAAAUCUGGCUCUUUCAGAGUCCGAGUUGUAAUUUGCAGAGGGCGCUUUGGCUUUGGCAGCGGUCCAAGUUCCUUGGAACAGGACGUCACAGAGGGUGAGAAUCCCGUACGUGGUCGCUAGCUAUUGCCGUGUAAAGCCCCUUCGACGAGUCGAGUUGUUUGGGAAUGCAGCUCUAAAUGGGAGGUAAAUUUCUUCUAAAGCUAAAUAUUGGCCAGAGACCGAUAGCGCACAAGUAGAGUGAUCGAAAGAUGAAAAGCACUUUGGAAAGAGAGUCAAACAGCACGUGAAAUUGUUGAAAGGGAAGCGCUUGCAGCCAGACUUGCUUGCAGUUGCUCAUCCGGGCUUUUGCCCGGUGCACUCUUCUGCAGGCAGGCCAGCAUCAGUUUGGGCGGUGGGAUAAAGGUCUCUGUCACGUACCAUCCUUCGGGAUGGCCAUAUAGGGGAGACGUCAUACCACCAGCCUGGACUGAGGUCCGCGCAUCUGCUAGGAUGCUGGCGUAAUGGCUGUAAGCGGCCCGUCUUGAAACACGGACCAAGGAGUCUAACAUCUAUGCGAGUGUUUGGGUGUCAAGCCCGAGCGCGUAAUGAAAGUGAACGGAGGUGGGAACCCGCAAGGGUGCACCAUCGACCGAUCCUGAAGUUUACGGAAGGAUUUGAGUAAGAGCAUGGCUGUUGGGACCCGAAAGAUGGUGAACUAUGCUUGAAUAGGGUGAAGCCAGAGGAAACUCUGGUGGAGGCUCGCAGCGGUUCUGACGUGCAAAUCGAUCGUCAAAUUUGGGCAUAGGGGCGAAAGACUAAUCGAACUAUCUAGUAGCUGGUUCCUGCCAAU